CCUGUAGCGCGCGCUCAAACGCGCCUGACGCAGUUCCACGAUGACCUCAUAUCCUCUGCAUCACUUCCUGUACAUGCUGAGGCAGAACUGGGCAGUCAGGCACAUUUACGCACUCACACUCGUCUGCUGUCAGCAGUACACACGAGCAAAGCCCCGCGUCUCUUUGUCCGCGAUCCUAGCGAUUUCAUCAUGACCCAGAGGUGAUCCUCGUCCCCGGUGGUUCUGGUGUCUUUGUUCAGACGUUUAAAUCCAAGAAAGCGAAAACCUUGAACCACUGGUCACUUUAAUGUUUUCUCUCACUGUGAGCUGCUUGGAAACACUCGGAGUCCAGGUCUGCAGUGAAAGAGCAAGAGAGAGGCCUCUUUAUAGGUGAAGGGAUUACCCAGGGCCACAGCGCCCAGAAUCUGAAGGUAAGGGAACGCUGAUGUGUUCAAAAUCACUUUCCUUUGAUGACUUUUCUGCUGCCCCUUUCCUUUACAACAAAAGCAAAUAAUAGUAAUCUGGAGCUGUCAAGGCAAAAAAAGGCCCUUAAAAGCUGUGUGGUGAGACUUGUGUAGUUAUGUUAUCACGAUUUAUUUGGAUAUACUUUACUAUAAAGAAGUUUUUCAGUCAAAAGUUGAACUACUGAAUGUACAGUAGUAUAAGUUGCUUUUACAUAAAGCCAGUUUUAGUUCAUUCACUAUGAAUAAGUUGAAACGGCUUGAAAUAUCAGGUUUGGUGGUGAGGAUCCAACUAACUUAACUUAAAGCUAGCUUUCUUAACUUAAUGACACAAGGAAAGAACAUUAUUUUUGAGUUGGAACUUGUAUUAUGUUUGAUGGAAGAAUUGCUCAAUUGGAGAUAUAUAUUGAUUGAUUUUGUGUUUAAUUGUUCAUGCUCAUUUAUAGCUAUUUUUGCCUUAAGAU